ACCUUCUCUACUCUUUCAAUCUCUGUAAAAGCUCCUCUAAAAUCCCAUGAUUUACCAACUGCAAGAACGAUAUGUCUGUAAUAGACCAUGUGAUGUGCCCUAAUAGUAUCCAUGAAAAACAAAACAGGAAAAGAAUGAGUGUAAGUGAUUUGGCCAUAUAUAUAGUAUCUUUAUCUUAAGCUCAAAAAACAACUGAUACGUAAUGUACCUUAAAGUCUUAAACCAACUUGCAGACUAAUCUAUAUUUGAACCGUUUAAAGAUAAAAGUGCCUCAUAAAAGAAAUGAAGAAACAUAGUCUAGAUAUAGUUGGCCUACCUUGUCGUAGUAGGUUAGUCAGAAGCAUUGUUAGAGGUAUUUUUAAGCUUGUGCAUAAGCUUCAUUCUGUUGCUGAUACUAAAGGAAGAGCUCUUUGGCCCAAGAAUCAACAAAUUCAGGCAAUGUAGUACAUCUGGAACAAAAAGCGAAUCCUAUCAGAAAUGUGGAGAUGUGAAGAUACUUGCUCCUAAUGUGCUUACUGCAGGAAAAUUCAAAGGAGGUGAAUUUUAAUUGUAACAAACCGAAAUCUGAAAUACCAGUUUAUAUUACCAAGAACAAAAUAUAAAACUUUGUUUGAUACAACAAUGUGUUGUGAGAUAAUUAACAAAAAAAUACAGUUAUGCAUAGAUAAUUAUUUGAAGCAUUUCUUCGAACAGUUGGACUAUAAUUUUAGUAAACACGAAGCAAAAAAAACAAAGAGUAUAAUCCAACCGAAUCUGACGGAUACAUGAUAAUCUGCAAAUCUUCAAGAAACUGAGACGAAACUUUUGAAUUACACAAAACAGUUGUUGUUACUCACCAAUCUGAGAAGAAGGAGAUAAUGGAUAAAGAGGACACUACAUUCGCCUUGUAGUACGACGAAACCCGUCUGAUCCAUUAAGCAAGAAAGAUGAAGCGUGAUCAUGGAAUGAUGGAAAUGGAAAGAUAAGAUACUUGCCUCAUAUAUGAUUCAAAAUUGCCAGUAAAAAGAUGAUUAAUGGCCCUUUCAGCGGGAGCAGUUUCUCGUGAAAUAAUUCGGAAAAUAACUCCUGAGAUUAUGGGCUGACAUAACAGACCAUCAAAUUCGAAAAAUAUUCUGGAUCGCCCGCUCAAUUUCGGAUCCUCUGGUAAUUAAAGCUGGAAGCAGUUGCAAUUUGAACUGGGUCAGUACCCGUUAUCUUGUGGAUGAUCCAAGCAGCUUGUUUAUUUACGUGUAGCACCCUGGGCAGUAUACAAAGAAAAUAAAAUGAAGGGCAGAAAAGGUCAUUUGGCAUAUCCUUUGUAUUCACAAAUUAGGAUUAUAUAGAUA
rnacentral:lncRNA from 1 species